UAACUACAAUGCAAGUCGUAACGGGAACCGUUUUUAGGUAAGGUAAGACCGUUACGGGUGGAAAGUUAGGUAAGGUAAGUGGCGGACGGGUGGAGUAACGCGUAGAUAAUACUACCUUAAAGACUAGGGACAACAGCUGGAACGACUGCUAAUACCGGAUACGCUGCACAUAGGGCAUCCUAGGUGCAGGAAAGAGGCCUCUUAACAAUGCUCCUGCUUUUAGAUGAGUCUGCGUCUGAUUAGCUAGAUGGUGGGGUAACGGCUUACCAUGGCGACGAUCAGUAGUCGGCCUGAGAGGGUGACCGGCCACAUUGGGACUGAGACACGGCCCAAACUCCUACGGGAGGCAGCAGUGGGGAAUCUUCCGCAAUGGGCGAAAGCCUGACGGAGCAACGCCGCGUGAUCGAAUGAAGGCCUUCGGGUUGUAAAGAUCUGUUGACAGGGACGAAUAAGCAAUGCGAAUAGUUUUGUGUAUGACGGUACCUGUUUUAGAAAGCUCCGGCUAACUACGUG
rnacentral:rRNA from 1 species